UACAGAGGUCUCAAGCGUUGUUCGGAUUCAUUGGGCGUAAAGGGCGCGUAGGCGGCGGGGUAAGUCGGGUGUGAAAUCUCAGGGCUCAACCCUGAAACUGCACUCGAUACUGCUCUGCUUGAGGACUGGAGAGGAGACUGGAAUUCACGGUGUAGCAGUGAAAUGCGUAGAUAUCGUGAGGAAGACCAGUGGCGAAGGCGGGUCUCUGGACAGUUCCUGACGCUGAGACGCGAAGGCCAGGGGAGCAAACGGG
rnacentral:rRNA from 1 species